rnacentral:rRNA from 1 species
CGAACGUGAAGCCACCUUCGGGUGGUGGAAAGUGGCAGACGGGUGAGUAACGCGUGGGAACGUGCCUUUCGGUUCGGAAUAACCCAGGGAAACUUGGGCUAAUACCGGAUACGCCCUUCGGGGGAAAGAUUCAUCGCCGGAAGAUCGGCCCGCGUCGGAUUAGCUAGUUGGUGGGGUAAUGGCCCACCAAGGCGACGAUCCGUAGCUGGUCUGAGAGGAUGACCAGCCACACUGGGACUGACACACGGCCCAGACUCCUACGGGAGGCAGCAGUGGGGAAUAUUGGACAAUGGGCGAAAGCCUGAUCCAGCCAUGCCGCGUGGGUGAAGAAGGCCUUACGGUUGUAAACCCCUUUCACCGGGGAAGAUAAUGACGGUACCCGCACAACAAGUCCCGGCUAACUCCGUGCCAGCAGCCGCGGUAUACGGAGGGGACUAGCGUUGUUCGGAAUUACUGGGCGUAAAGCGCGCGUAGACGGAUUUGCUUUCGGGGGUGACAUCCCGAGGGGAACCUCUUACUGCCUUCAUACUGUUAUCUCUGCUCCGGAACAGGUGAGUGUGGUCCUAGUGUAGAGUGAAUGUCGCUGGUAUUCCUAUCAACCAACUGCCGAACGUCGCUCUGUGGUGCGGUUACUGCCACUGAUAGCGAUCCGAGCGGGCCGAUCUUAUUGCAAU